UUUAUGGAGAGUUUGAUCCUGGCUCAGGAUGAACGCUGGCGGCGUGCCUAAUACAUGCAAGUCGAGCGAACGGACGAGAAGCUUGCUUCUCUGAUGUUAGCGGCGGACGGGUGAGUAACACGUGGAUAACCUACCUAUAAGACUGGGAUAACUUCGGGAAACCGGAGCUAAUACCGGAUAAUAUUUUGAACCGCAUGGUUCAAAAGUGAAAGACGGUCUUGCUGUCACUUAUAGAUGGAUCCGCGCUGCAUUAGCUAGUUGGUAAGGUAACGGCUUACCAAGGCAACGAUGCAUAGCCGACCUGAGAGGGUGAUCGGCCACACUGGAACUGAGACACGGUCCAGACUCCUACGGGAGGCAGCAGUAGGGAAUCUUCCGCAAUGGGCGAAAGCCUGACGGAGCAACGCCGCGUGAGUGAUGAAGGUCUUCGGAUCGUAAAACUCUGUUAUUAGGGAAGAACAUAUGUGUAAGUAACUGUGCACAUCUUGACGGUACCUAAUCAGAAAGCCACGGCUAACUACGUGCCAGCAGCCGCGGUAAUACGUAGGUGGCAAGCGUUAUCCGGAAUUAUUGGGCGUAAAGCGCGCGUAGGCGGUUUUUUAAGUCUGAUGUGAAAGCCCACGGCUCAACCGUGGAGGGUCAUUGGAAACUGGAAAACUUGAGUGCAGAAGAGGAAAGUGGAAUUCCAUGUGUAGCGGUGAAAUGCGCAGAGAUAUGGAGGAACACCAGUGGCGAAGGCGACUUUCUGGUCUGUAACUGACGCUGAUGUGCGAAAGCGUGGGGAUCAAACAGGAUUAGAUACCCUGGUAGUCCACGCCGUAAACGAUGAGUGCUAAGUGUUAGGGGGUUUCCGCCCCUUAGUGCUGCAGCUAACGCAUUAAGCACUCCG
rnacentral:rRNA from 1 species